AGCACCAUGAAGGACUCUUAAAGGAAAGGCUGUUGAAAGAGAGUUCCUGAAGAUAAUCCUUUUAAAAGGUUUCCUUAAAAUGCAGCCGCUAGUGGGAAUAAGGCAGGUUUAGUUCCAACAUCUUAAUACCUCCGGGUAGCACUGUUUUAGAUCUCGUAAUGUCUUUCCUUUAGCACUGAUUUGACUUCUGAUUUGGGACUUGCACGUUUUGGAGGAUCUUGUUGCUGCGGUGGUUCUCACUGAGAAGGUCCCCCGAGGAUGUUAUCACCAGUGACCUGCUGGGACCUGCGGCUUCAUUUCUGCUGGGAAUCAUACGCCCUCCCUACUCGUAACACCCUUUCCAACCUCACCCUUCUGGAGUUUUGUCUAAUGACCCAUUCAAGUCGUUUCAGGGUGCUGCUUCGUUUGUUUUUCCCUUAUGGCGGAUGCUGUGACAAUCCCCAAGCUGUUGAAAUGGGGUUCGGUUUCUCCCAAGCUCUUUGCUUGGGAGUGUCCCCAGCUCCAUCAUGCUCAGGAUGGGUCUGCAUGGCAUCGCUUGCCGGGGUCGAAGUUUUUGAAGUUUGCCUCCUUCCCUCCCUGUGAGCCAUUAGCUGGAUGACACGGACACAGGUUUCCCUUCGCUUCUUCUUCUCCAUCCAACCCUACUCACACGGAAACUCCCCCACCAGGCAGUGAGAGAACGGGAACAGAUCUUUAUCAGAGACUCACCCACAUCUUCAAGAAACCAGCAUCUACUGGAGAGGACAGGGCUGGAGAUGCUGCCAAAAGAGCCACAGAAGCAUGAUGCAAACUGUAUCCUCUUGCUGGGCUUUGGGAACUGCUCAGCUUUCAGCUGGGUUUGUGCCACUCAGGCUGUUCCUGUUAGGAGAAAGCUGGAGGAGUGCCCUUUUGCCCAAGGUCUGAUCUCCCAGGGGCUGCUGAGAUGCUAGCUGAUCCCCUUGUUGCUGCAUAGCUACCUGUGUUUCAGUGCUCCGGGAUGCUGCCUGAGUUCCCCUUUGGACUCCAGAGUCCCAUUGAGAUCAUGACAGCCAUGUUUAUGUGCUAUUCUAAUGCUGGUUGUUGCAGUCAACAUAGUGGGUACACAGUGGUUCCAGUUUUCCCUGAUGUCCACAAGCAGAUGAAUUUCAAAGGUGUUUCCCAUGGAUGCUCCUGCAGGCAGUGAGGAGGCCAGAGAUGUGAGUGUCACAAAAGCAGCAAAGAAGCAAAACAUCUCCUUUGGGCUCCUGUGGCUGUGUUUGCCCCCAAGUGCCAGCCCAUGCUCUGUUUUCUCCAGUGGUCAAGCCCUGCUGGAUUGACCAAAAGUUGCUCCAUCCCUGGGGUCAGUCAGAGCCCCAUGGGACUAUGGGAAAGGCUUGGUGAGUGGGAGCGUUCUACAUUGAGGGCAGGCAGGGUGGUGAUGUUCAUGGCUUCAUCAAGGGCUCCUUUUUCUUUGCAAAGAACUCUUGCUUGCUCGCUCAGCUUGCUGCACUGGUGAGAAUGUACUUACUGGCUUAACUACUGAGAUAUCUCUAAUGGAGAAUUUAAUCUCCAGAGCGUUGCUGUCUCUUAUGUUUCCUGUGUCUUAGGUGCUCAAUAAAUGCUUGCU
rnacentral:lncRNA from 7 species